rnacentral:rRNA from 1 species
UACGAACCGUGCGAACGUUGUUCGGAAUCACUGGGCUUAAGGGGCGCGUAGGCGGGCACGCAAGUCCGGGGUGAAAGCCCCCAGCUCAACUGGGGAAGGGCCUUGGAAACUGCGGGUCUCGAGGGAGGUAGGGGCAUGUGGAACUUCGGGUGGAGCGGUGAAAUGCGUUGAUAUCCGAAGGAACGCCGGUGGCGAAAGCGACGUGCUGGAUCUCUUCUGACGCUGAGGCGCGAAAGCCAGGGUAGCGAACGGG